CUACUGGGGUAUCUAAUCCUGUUUGCUCCCCACGCUUUCGAGCAUGAGCGUCAGUACAGGUCCAGGGGAUUGCCUUCGCCAUCGGUGUUCCUCCGCAUAUCUACGCAUUUCUCUGCUACACGCGGAAUUCCAUCCCCCUCUACCGUACUCUAGCUAUACAGUCACAAAUGCAGUUCCCAGGUUGAGCCCGGGGAUUUCACAUCUGUCUUAUAUAACCGCCUGCGCACGCUUUACGCCCAGUAAUUCCGAUUAACGCUUGCACCCUACGUAUUACCGCGGCUGCUGGCAC
rnacentral:rRNA from 1 species